rnacentral:rRNA from 1 species
CCUACGGGUGGCAGCAGUGAGGAAUAUUGGUCAAUGGGCGAGAGCCUGAACCAGCCAAGUCGCGUGAGGGAGUACUGCCCUAUGGGUUGUAAACCUCUUUUGUCGAGGAGCAAAAGCCGGACGUGUCCGGCUGUGAGAGUACCCGAAGGAAAAGCAUCGGCUAACUCCGUGCCAGCAGCCGCGGUAAUACGGGGGAUGCGAGCGUUAUCCGGAUUUAUUGGGUUUAAAGGGUGCGCAGGCGGAUUUUUAAGUCAGCGGUAAAAUCGUUGGGUCCAACCCCAUCCAGCCGUUGAAACUGGGGAUCUAGAGUGUGCGAGAGGUAUGCGGAAUGCGUGGUGUAGCGGUGAAAUGCAUAGAUAUCACGCAGAACCCCGAUUGCGAAGGCAGCAUACCGGUGCACAACUGACGCUCAGGCACGAAAGCGUGGGUAUCGAACAGGAUUAGAUACCCUAGUAGUC